rnacentral:pre_miRNA from 7 species
AACCGCCAGUGAAAAUGCAUUUCCACUGGCGGUUUUAUAAAGCAAACCGCCAGUGGAAAUGCAUUUUUCACUGGCGGUU